rnacentral:rRNA from 1 species
GACCCGACUGCUAUUUGGGUGAGGAUAAGCCAUGCGAGUUGAAUGGGAUACCCAAAGUUCCCAUGGCAAACUGCUCAGUAACACAUGAUCAACUUACCCUAUAGAGGAAAAUAACCUCGGGAAACUGAGGAUAAUAUUCCAUAAUUGAAUCGGCUUGGAAAAGUUUUUCAAUAAAAGGGAUAAGAAAAAUGGUUCUUAUCUGCCAUAGGAUAGGAUCGUGUUCGAUUAUGGUUGUUGGUGAGGUAAAGGCUCACCAAGCCGAUAAUCGAUAGGGGCCGUGAGAGCGGGAGCCCCGAGAUGGGUACUGAGACAACGACCCAGGCCUUACGAGGCGCAGCAGGCGCGAAACCUCCGCAAUACACGAAAGUGUGACGGGGUUACCCAAAGUGUUCUAUUUAGAACUGUGGUAGGUGAGUAAUGUCCCCUACUAGAAAGGAGAGGGCAAGGCUGGUGCCAGCCGCCGCGGUAAAACCAGCUCUUCAAGUGGUCGGGAUAAUUAUUGGGCUUAAAGUGUCCGUAGCCGGUUUAGUAAGUUCCUGGUAAAAUCGGGUAGCUUAACUAUCUAUAUGCUAGGAAUACUGCUAUACUAGAGGGCGGGAGAGGUCUGAGGUACUACAGGGGUAGGGGUGAAAUCUUAUAAUCCUUGUAGGACCACCAGUGGCGAANGCGUCAGACUGGAACGCGCCUGACGGUGANGGACGAAAGCCAGGGGAGCGAACCGGAUUAGAUACCCGGGUAGUCCUGGCCGUAAACGAUGCAUACUANGUGAUGGCACGGCCAUGAGCCGUGUCAGUGCCGUANGGAAAC